rnacentral:rRNA from 1 species
UACGUAGGUGGCAAGCGUUGUCCGGAUUUAUUGGGUUUAAAGGGUGCGUAGGCGGCUUUGUAAGUCAGUGGUGAAAUAUGGCAGCUCAACUGUCAGGGUGCCAUUGAUACUGCAGAGCUUGAGUACAGAUGAGGUAGGCGGAAUUGACGGUGUAGCGGUGAAAUGCUUAGAUAUCGGCAAGAACACCUAUAGCGAAGGCAGCUUACUAGGCUGUAACUGACGCUGAGGCACGAAAGUGUGGGGAGCAAACAGG